ensembl:lncRNA
AUGGAACAGAGACCAACAUGUGACUUACAUAUGUUUAAUGUGUUUGAUACGUUCCGUUUUUUCUCCAUUGCAGCCAUUUCAAUGAGCCGUCCUCGUGUAGCUCCUCCCUCCAGGCUCCUCUGCAACGUACUGUCUGAAUCAAGGACAAGUGCUCAUAAUUCCCACCCUGCGAAGGCUCUGCAGAAGAUCAGGACCUCCUUUCUCGCUGUUCUCCCCUACGGAAAGCCUGGGGGACAUACUGUACAGGAAAACCAAGCAUGUGUUUGACUACACAGUCACGAACAUGAAAGACAAAAAGCCCGGUGAGUCAGCCUGAUAGUGGGAUUUGGAAAUAAAAUGUAUUGAACGCUACAACAAAGAGACAGAUAGGAUAGCAUCUAUUGGAAAGGCCUGGGGCCCUAUUCAGUCAUAAUCGGUCACAGGCGUUCAGGAUUAAUACCAGAAAAUAUAUUUGUAUAUAAGUAUAGCAGUAUGAUCUUUUUUUUUAUUUCACAUGCUUUGUACUAGAGAUUAAAUUAAUCAAAUGAUGCCACAUUUCAGAUGUUUCAAGGUGUGGUUCCAAUCUAAACCAAUGUGUUAAACCAGCCCUUCCAGUACGGAAGGGAUUCAAUGUAUCCACAUCUAGGUACAGCCAGGUGAGGAAUAUACUGUAACUGAGAUGAUGUUCACACACACACACACACAAUGGUACAGUGGUAACCAGUAUUUACCUUAUUUUUCAGAGAAGGGAACAAUCAAUUGAUCAGAUGACGGUGAUCAGAAAAGAUCAUGGUAAGAUCCUAUACUAAUUCCCUCCGUUUUAAUGUACAAAGAAACACACUGGACAUACCCAAUUGUAAACUGUAACUUUUGUGUUCUUGUUCCCACUUUAGUCGGUAGGCCUUUACUAAUGCUGAAAGGCAAUGCAAGUCUAACCAACAGUGAUGGAAGCAACAACACGGAUUCAUUUGCUUAUUCACCCAGACUCACAAAGGUAUCAGAACCCUUUAUUCAUAUUAUGUUGGUAUUGAUAUAGUAAGAAUGUCAUUAACGUUUUAUAGUCCUGAAUAAACUAAGCGACAUUUAUAUAGCCGUUGCCUUUUUUUUAACUGACAUCGUUAAUAAUGAGCCAGUAGUGGUACAUGUACUAGCUUCAAUUAAACACAGGAGGACAGUGUUGCUCUACAUUUGACAUUCAUCCAACAUGCUCAGCUUAUUCAUAUGUCGAGCACAUAGGAUAGGCUCUGCCAUAACAAAAUAUAUUGACAUCUUUAAUCUAGGGUAAACCAUCAACCUCCUCUCAGCCAGGACCUGACACCAGGAUCCCACCAGUAGUAACCAGGAACCAUUCUGACAUCAUCAGAGAGGCAAUCACUUUAUAAACUGUUGUGCCCCCCAAAAUAGGCUUUUGUCCGUAUUAAAAGAGCAGAUCAUGCUAAUUUUGCAGUUUAAAAAACAUGUUGAACCAUACUCCAUGACCAAUAUGCUGUAACUUAUAGGAAAGAAAGAGGCACUACUACAAAGACCUGUGUCAGCAGGUGGAGGAGAAGAGACAACAAAAAGCGAGGGAGAGGAGAAGGAUUACCACCGCCGAACAAACUGUGAGUCAUCGCAAGCAUAAUUAUUCUAUGUUACCCAUACCUUCUAUAUAGAGAUCGGACAGGAACGUGUCACCUUUUUC